AGAGUUUGAUCCUGGCUCAGGAUGAACGCUGGCGGCGUGCUUAACACAUGCAAGUCGAACGAACCUUCGGGUUAGUGGCGGACGGGUGAGUAACGCGUGAGAAUCUGCCCUCAGGAGGGGGAUAACGGUUGGAAACGACCGCUAAUACCCCAUAUGCCGCGAGGUGAAAUGUAUUUCGCCUGAGGAUGAGCUCGCGUCUGAUUAGCUAGUUGGUGGGGUAAAGGCCUACCAAGGCAUCGAUCAGUAGCUGGUCUGAGAGGAUGAUCAGCCACACUGGGACUGAGACACGGCCCAGACUCCUACGGGAGGCAGCAGUGGGGAAUUUUCCGCAAUGGGCGAAAGCCUGACGGAGCAACGCCGCGUGAGGGAUGAAGGCCUCUGGGCUGUAAACCUCUUUUAUCAAGGAAGAAGAUCUGACGGUACUUGAUGAAUAAGCCACGGCUAAUUCCGUGCCAGCAGCCGCGGUAAUACGGGAGUGGCAAGCGUUAUCCGGAAUUAUUGGGCGUAAAGCGUCCGCAGGCGGCCCUUCAAGUCUGCUGUUAAAACGUGGAGCUUAACUCCAUCAUGGCAGUGGAAACUGUUGGGCUUGAGUGUGGUAGGGGCAGAGGGAAUUCCCGGUGUAGCGGUGAAAUGCGUAGAUAUCGGGAAGAACACCAGUGGCGAAGGCGCUCUGCUGGGCCAUCACUGACGCUCAUGGACGAAAGCCAGGGGAGCGAAAGGGAUUAGAUACCCCUGUAGUCCUGGCCGUAAACGAUGAACACUAGGUGUCGGGGGAAUCGACCCCCUCGGUGUCGUAGCCAACGCGUUAAGUGUUCCGCCUGGGGAGUACGCACGCAAGUGUGAAACUCAAAGGAAUUGACGGGGGCCCGCACAAGCGGUGGAGUAUGUGGUUUAAUUCGAUGCAACGCGAAGAACCUUACCAGGGUUUGACAUCCUGCGAAUCUCUUGGAAACGAGAGAGUGCCUUCGGGAACGCAGUGACAGGUGGUGCAUGGCUGUCGUCAGCUCGUG
rnacentral:rRNA from 1 species